GGUCCCAGGAGGACUAGUGGUUAGGCCUCGGGGCUAUCACCUCUGCAGCCCGGGUUCGGUUCCAGGGAACCA